rnacentral:tRNA from 1 species
GGCUUCGUAGCUCAGCUGGUAGGGCGCUUGCCUCGUUGAGGCAUACUGUGUCUGUCGCUGGUUCGACUCCAGUCGAAGCCU